UUGCCUCAUGCCAUUAUGGAGUCUGAGAUCUGCAGUGGGCAAGAACCCGGUAUCUGGCCACCCAGGACAAAGACUACAUUUCCCAGCUUCCCUUGCAAUGAGGUACAGCAUGUGACCAAGUUCUGGACAACAGAAUGGAAGCAGAAAUGGCAUGUUCCUGAGAGCACUCCCCAGCAAACAUCUUGCAUGCUGCUUUCUACCUCAGAGUCUUUCCGGGGGAACCAGAUCUGCAGCAUCAUGGUCAGCCCCCGCAGGAAGCCUGAUGAGCUGGGCUCCGCUCCACACUGCUCUCAGUGAGGCUCGUCUGUUUACCAAUUCGCCGCAGAGCAGAUGGAUGACACGGAGGCCACAUUUUUCUCCCCUCGCAGCAGGAAAAUGAAUCUCACCAAGUGUUGCCGACACCAUCCUACCAGGUUCCGCAUCCAUUGUGGACAGGCCCCGCUGACAGAGCACAGGUCCAUCCCUCAGCCCGGCUCCAAGCCCCGGGGGAGAGGACGCAGACAAGAUGAAUGUUUCACAUCCCUCCCAUCCUCAGUGCUGCUCCUCCUCUCCCCUCAGAUCCACCCACUCCACUGAGUGGCCCCUGCAGCACCUCCUGGCCUCCGUCUUGACGGCACUUGGAAGCAGAUGCUCCAGACAGAGAGAAGAUGGGGCCGUGAUCAGGGGAGAGAGGUGAGAAGGCGCUGGAUUCAGGCCUGAUAACCUUACACAAUCUGAAAGCAUGAUGAAGGACAGUCAUUUCACUGAAACACCUGAAGGUCAAGUCUGCCCGGGAGUGAGGCUGCUGGGAAGAUGGGGCAGUGGUCUGGAGACCCGGAUUUGAAUCCCAGCUCCUUUAUCAAUGAAACUCUAGGACUUUGGGCCAUUCUACUGCUGUGGGUCUUGUUUUCUUCCAAAACUGGAAUGGAUUCCUUCCAGUGCUGAUGAUUGGUCAUGUGCUGUGGAUUUAAAGACACAAUACUAAUAUUCCACCAUUUAUUGAGCACUUAUUGUGUGCCUUAGACUGAAUGGAA